rnacentral:tRNA from 1 species
UAGAAAGUGGUGUAGUGGAAGCACUGAGGGUUUUGAUCUCUCCGGGUAGGGUUCAAACCCCUUCUUUCUA